AUUGAACGCUGGCGGCAGGCCUAACACAUGCAAGUCGAACGAGUGGCGGACGGGUGAGUAAUGUCUGGGAAACUGACUGAUGGAGGGGGAUAACUACGGGAAACGGUAGCUAAUAACGCAUACCAUAGGAUGAGCACAGAUGGGAUUAGCUAGUAGGUGGGGUAAAGGCUCACCUAGGCGACGAUCCCUCGCUGGUCUGAGAGGAUGACCAGCCACACUGGAACUGAGACACGGUCCAGACUCCUACGGGAGGCAGCAGUGGGGAAUAUUGCACAAUGGGCACAAGCCUGAUGCAGCCAUGCCGCGUGGAUGAAGAAGGCCUUCGGGUUGUAAAGUACUUUCAGCGGGGAGGCGUUACCCGCAGAAGAAGCACCGGCUAACUCCGUGCCAGCAGCCGCGGUAAUUC
rnacentral:rRNA from 1 species